GAUGAACGCUGGCGGCGUGCCUAAUACAUGCAAGUCGAGCGAACAGACGAGGAGCUUGCUCCUCUGACGUUAGCGGCGGACGGGUGAGUAACACGUGGAUAACCUACCUAUAAGACUGGGAUAACUUCGGGAAACCGGAGCUAAUACCGGAUAAUAUAUUGAACCGCAUGGUUCAAUAGUGAAAGACGGCUUUGCUGUCACUUAUAGAUGGAUCCGCGCCGCAUUAGCUAGUUGGUAAGGUAACGGCUUACCAAGGCGACGAUGCGUAGCCGACCUGAGAGGGUGAUCGGCCACACUGGAACUGAGACACGGUCCAGACUCCUACGGGAGGCAGCAGUAGGGAAUCUUCCGCAAAGGGCGAAAGCCUGACGGAGCAACGCCGCGUGAGUGAUGAAGGUCUUCGGAUCGUAAAACUCUGUUAUUAGGGAAGAACAAAUGUGUAAGUAACUAUGCACGUCUUGACGGUACCUAAUCAGAAAGCCACGGCUAACUACGUG
rnacentral:rRNA from 1 species